CCCUGGGUAGUGCAAAUGGUCAGCACACUUGACUGCUAACCAAAAGGUUGGAGGUUCAAUUCCAUCCAGAGGCA
rnacentral:tRNA from 1 species